UGCUACAGAGAAUGGAAAACUCUUGCGACUAAAACAACAGUUUUUUCUUUGCAGCGCGUCACUCCAGGACAUAAUUUCAAGAUUUAAGGAGAGAAAGCAAGGGAAAGAUUCAUGGGAGUGGGCUGAGUUUCCAAGCAGAGUUGCAGUGCAAUUAAAUGAUACUCAUCCAACCCUUGCAAUUCCUGAACUGAUGCGAUUACUGAUGGAUGAUGAAGGCCUUGGAUGGGAUGAAGCAUGGGAUAUAACUACAAGGACUAUUGCUUAUACCAACCACACCGUCCUUCCUGAAGCACUUGAGAAAUGGUCACAACAUGUGAUGUGGAAGCUCCUUCCGCGCCAUAUGGAAAUUAUUGAAGAGAUUGACAAGAGGUUUGUGGCGAUGAUCCAUGCUGCUCAAAAUAAUCUUGAGCAUAAGAUAGACAGUUUGCGCAUCUUGGAUAAUAAUCCUCAGAAGCCAGUGGUUCG
rnacentral:misc_RNA from 1 species